UAUUGCAAUGUUAUAUGGAUAC
rnacentral:siRNA from 1 species